rnacentral:rRNA from 1 species
UACGAAGGUGGCAAGCGUUGUUCGGAUUUACUGGGCGUACAGGGAGCGUAGGCGGUUGGAUAAGCCCUCCGUGAAAUCUCCAGGCUUAACCUGGAAAGUGCAGAGGGGACUGUUCAGCUAGAGGAUGGGAGAGGAGCGCGGAAUUCCCGGUGUAGUGGUGAAAUGCGUAGAGAUCGGGGAGGAACACCAGAGGCGAAAGCGGCAUCCUGGGCCGGGCCUGACG